CGGCCCAAGCCUAAGUAAGGGACCGGUGGCAGAAUAUUUGCAAAGUUAGGUUUUGUGGUUUGAGGGAGAGAUUGGAAAGGAAGAUCCAACCAACCUUGAUGUUGAGUGUGAUGGAAAACACUCUCUCUUGAAAUUAUGAAAUUAAAAUCCAAUGGUAUUGUUUCAAACAAAGUAUACUCUUGCACAUAAACAUACUGUAUUGAAGAAAGCAAACUGAUUAUAUAGUUUAAAACUAUUGUUUCCUAUCUAUUUUGUUCUUUUUUGAAAUUUAAAACUCUAUUUUGUGAUGAAAUCUACUUGUACUUAAAAUUAAGGUCGUAAAUAUAUUGCGAGUGGCAAAUUGCCAUAAUGGAUAGGACAUUAGCCUUCAACUUAAAGGGUUUCAGGUUUAAACUAUUUUUAUGAGUAUAGAUUAGAAUAGUUUUAUCGUUUGUAAUAAAAAAUAUUAUAAAUAUUGUAAUAAAUAUUAUAAAUAUAAUUUUUCGUCACUCUCUUUUAUUACUUUGAAAAGUGAUAAAAUAUUUAUAAAAAUACUUUUACAAUAGGUUGUUAAACUCACCUAUAAUAAACAAUGUAGAAUUUAGAACCUAGACGAAUGAUACCAUGUACAAUUUAGACUCUUUGAAUUAAUCAUAUACAAUGUUUACAAUAAGCAAUGUUCUAAAAAUCCCGCCUAGGCGCUAGGCGGUUGGCCGCCAUCCCGAUUAAUGCAUGGGCGUUUGAAAAUUUAGAAAAGACACCUAUACCUGCUAAGGCGCUCGCCUAACCCGCCCAAACCCACCUAGACUUCUGCCUAGGUUGCGACUCACUUAGAUAGAAAAUAGAUAACUUUCAUUUUGCAUUAUUUUUUUUUAAUAAAUUGUAAGAGACUUGUUGAAUACUUAAAUGAACACACAUUAUAUGCUUGUUCCCCAUGUUUUCAUUAUGUUUGAAUACUCCAUAAUAUAUAUGUCAUUCUGUUUUGUAAUCUAUGAUGUAAUUAUAUAAAUAUUAAGUAUAAACAAACACUUAUGUACACAACAUAUAAUAGAUUUACUUAAAUUCGUCUAAGUGCUAGGCCCUAGCCUGCCGCCUGAUUAGCGACUAGCGUCUUUUAGAACCUUGACAAUAAGAUUUGAGAAAACCAUAUGAUGUAGAAAUCCUAAAUUAUUUACAAUUUAUAUUACAUUUUUUUUUAACAAAAGAUAUUUUUUUACAUUAGGGGAAAGGGGUGGACUUAGCCUCAUAAUGGACUAGCAAUAAUGUGGUUCAAAUUCGUCUUUGGCGAGAAUCGAACCUAAGACCUCUCACUUACAAGUGAAGAGAAAUACUAUUAAACCAUAGUUUAAGUGACAAUUUAUAUUACAUUCUGUUAAUUAUGGAGAGGAUUCUGGAUUAAUUAAUUCUAUUAUAACAAGCAAUAAUAUCACAACUUUGUAUGAACUCGUUACAAACAUAUCAUCCUCGCAUAAGUAUGAAUCAACUUUGAACCAAUUGUUUAUGGGUAAAUUACAUUUUACCACCUUAGGUUUGAGGUCUAUUACAACCUCAUACAAUAUCUUCAAAACAUUUCACUUUCAUACCUCACGUAUUAUUUUAUUCCAAUAUAAUACCUCCGUUACAUUUUACAUCCAUUGCUCCAUUAAGAGCUGACGUGGCUGCCACCU
rnacentral:lncRNA from 1 species